ACUGUAAAAUGUAAUAGCUGAGCUUACUAAAAAGAUUAAGUAAACUUAACUUAUUUAAUUAAGUUUGUUAACCUUACUUAGUUUAACUAAGUAAUCCCAACUUUUUUCUAUGCAAACUCAAGUCAACUUGAUUAAACUUAACAGAUUAAUUUAGCUCAACUUAAAAUUUCAAGUAUUUUCAAAAAGGAUGACUGCACAGUAGGUGGCAGUAAUGCUCCCAAGGAGUAAGUGGUGGCUUAACUGAGUGGUUAACUGAAGAAGACGACAACAGCACAUGGUCGGAUAAGAGCAUUAGGAGCAGGAGCUUGUUUCUUUGAAGAGAGCGCAUACCCUUCAUGGAAAGUCAGUAACGUUACUGUGGAGUACAACCAAGUCGCAAGCAAAAACCUCAAGCAAGAAUUGUUCUCAUCCCUUGCUAAACAUUGUUUUUGAAGAUUUUGAAUGAAAGAAAAGUUUAAAAGCUCUCUUGAGUAUCUAAUAAACAUCACUGAUGACAGUGCUCGGUGGACGGUAGUUCUCUGUGGUCUUGCUAUCCUUCUUGCAGAAGACACUACAGACUUCCUGAAAACAAACAUGGACUGUGAUGGUGACACACCUCAACUAUCAAUAGGAAUUCUCAGUCUGGUGCCGGAGGACAGACAUUUCUCCACAUGGUUUACAGCAAUUAUUUGGUAGGGUGUCACAGCCAUGGAUGGACUUGAGAAAGUAUCACAUGCCAUGUGUUUAGUUUUUGGACUGAUCGUUGUUUUAAAUAUGGAGUACCUCUUCACAGCUUAUUUUGAGUUGAUUCACAGGGUUUUUUCUUUCCCUGGGGCACAAAUCACUAAAGUCAAAACUGCCAUCACUACAAAACAUACUAAUGUGAAGUAGUGUGUUUUGUGUGAAACAAGUCUGUGUUACUGUAGAUCUGUUGCAUUUUGGGGUUUUUAUUUUUCGUCAACCUGGAUACAAGUUCCAGAAAAACUCAACUUUAAUUGCUGCAAAACUUUGAUGUUUUAGUUAAGCUGUAUUUUGCGUGUUUCUGAUGGCAGAAACAAGAUUGUUACUGUAGGUCUGUUGAUGCAAUUUGUGAUUUUUUAUCAGUCACAUGACAACCUGGAUAAAAAACCAAAACUGCAGUCACUAAAAAAAAACUAGUUUUGAAUUUGUUUGUCAAGGUGUGUUCAUUGUGUUUGUAAUAACAGAAACAAGACUGUCUUAGGUCUAUUGUUGCAUUUUGGGUAUCCAGAUUGAUGGGUGACUGAACACAAGCCCCUUUCUUGUGUGUGUGUGUGCGCG